rnacentral:rRNA from 1 species
ACUAUAAACUUAGAGGUUUGUUAAAUUAGUUUUUAGGUUUAUUUGCCUUUUGCAUCAUGCUUAAUAGAUUUUUUUAAAUUAUUUUUUAGACCGAAGAAUUUGGAUCUCAAUAUAGGUUGUUUAGAACUUAUUUUCGCUGAGUUAGUUGUGAAGAUAAAUUUAUUUUGUGGUGUGAAAUAUUAAUCGUCAAAUUUUAUAUCUGUUUUAUCAUUGAUUAUUUUUUUUAACAUGUUAAGUUCAAGAUUUAGUAUGUGUUUAUACUUUUUAUUAUUUUGGUUGACGAAGAGGUUAAGAGUACUUAUUUGUUGUAAAAUUGUUAAAAAUUCUGUUACAUGGGGGUAUAAGUUAAUUUAUGGUAUGUGAUAUAUUGAUUAAUUUUUAGUAAGAAGAGAUUAUUAUAUAAGUAAUAUUAAUAUGAUGAUUAAUUCUCGAAGAUUAUCCAUCUGUUUAUUAAAAACAUUUCCAAUUGAUAUUGUAAUUGGUAGUGCCUGCCCAGUGUUUUAAUAAAUGGCCGCAGUAUUUUGACUGUGCGAAGGUAGCAUAAUUAAUUGUCUUGUAAUUGAGGACUUGUUUGAAUGGCUUGAUGAGAUAAGUUUUUAUAUUCGUCAUAUAGUUGAAAUUAGUGGUGUGGGUGCAGAAUCUACACAUAAUUAAUAAGACGGAAAGACCCCGGGAGCUUUUAUGUUUAUUUGGGGUAAGAUUAAAUAUUUUAUUUGGAUUUAGACCCUAAAGUUAUUGGUUUAAUGAUUUAAGUUGCCCCGGGGAUAACAGGGUAAUAGUUAAUAAGAGAUCAUAUCGAGUUAAUUGUUUGCCACCUCGAUGUUGACUUAGGUGAGUAUUAUGGCGCAGCUGUUUGUGUAUUAGGUCUGUUCGACCAUAGUGGCCUUCAUGAGUUGAGUUUAGACCGGUGUGAAUCAGGUCGGAUCUUAUCUGUUAUUCAAGCUUAUUAGUACGAAAGGAUUGUAAGUUGUUUUUUUU